rnacentral:rRNA from 1 species
GACGAACGCUGGCGGCGUGCUUAACACAUGCAAGUCGAACGGAAAGGCCCUGCUUGCAGGGUACUCGAGUUGCGAACGGGUGAGUAACACGUGGGUGAUCUGCCCUGCACUUCGGGAUAAGCCUGGGAAACUGGGUCUAAUACCGGAUAGGAGCCAUAUUUAGUGUGAUGGUUGGAAAGUUUUUUCGGUGUAGGAUGAGCUCGCGGCCUAUCAGCUUGUUGGUGGGGUAAUGGCCUACCAAGGCGGCGACGGGUAGCCGGCCUGAGAGGGUGGACGGCCACAUUGGGACUGAGAUACGGCCCAGACUCCUACGGGAGGCAGCAGUGGGGAAUAUUGCACGAUGGGCGCAAGCCUGAUGCAGCGACGCCGCGUGGGGGAUGACGGCCUUCGGGUUGUAAACUCCUUUCGCUAGGGACGAAGCUUUUUGUGACGGUACCUAGAGAAGAAGCACCGGCUAACUACGUG